rnacentral:rRNA from 1 species
GCCCUUGAAAAAAUCAAAGGUGAAACCUGCCCAAUGAUUUCUAAUUAUAAAUAAUAAUAAUAUUUUAAAGAAAUUAAAAGGACGCGGUAACCUUAACUGUGAUAAUGUAGCAUAAUCAUUUGCCAUUUAAUUGAUGGAUAGUAUGAAUGGUUUAACGAAUAUUACACUAUCUAAAAAAUAAAUCUCAUGAAAAUAAAAUAAUAGUAAAGAUGCUAUUUAAAAUUGUAAGACGAAAAGACCCUAUAGAGCUUAACUAUAUUUUUUCUUUAAUUUUUAAUUAAAAGAAAAAAAGGUAGUUUAGUUGGGGCGACUGUUUUCUAAAAAUAACGAAAAUAAACAAAAUUAAUAAAAUAAUUUAUUGUAUAAUAAACAAAUUUAACAAUUACAAAAGUAGGUUAUAAUGACCCGUUAUUAUUAAAUAAUAAAAAUAACGAUUAAUGAAUAAAAGCUACCUUAGGGAUAACAGAAUAAUUUUAUCCAAGAGUUCUUAUUAAAGAUAAAGUUUGUCACCUCUAUGUUGAAUUAAGAUAUCCUAAUAGUGCAGAAGCUAUUAAAGGUAGGUCUGUUCGACCUUUAAAAUCUU